rnacentral:lncRNA from 10 species
CAACAGCAGAGACCUGCAGAUGAGAACACCUUUAUGAAGAGCAAGACCAUGCUUUGAAGUUGGGCAGAGAUCUUGGUUCAAAUCCUGGCUCUGCCGCUUGUUAGCUAAGUCACUUCAGGGCUUGUUUCUGAGAGUGUGCACGGAGAUUGAAGGGCAGGGGCUCAUGUGACAGUGUGAAGCAGGAAUUCUGACCGUUGGCCAAACCAAGCCCUGAAACUCAAGUUCUGUUUGGGAGUGAGAGGCAGAAAGCCUUGGAGGCAGCUUCAAUUAGAAGCUAAUUUUACUAAUUAGAAAAUUGGUAUCAGAAGGACGAUUGAACGUGUCCAACGUCACACAGCCAGUAAGGAGAGGGGCCUGGACUGGAGCAGACCUGUCUGAUUCACUCAGACAGGACUGGAGCAGACCCUUGCUUUAUUCACUCAAUAGUUUUUUCCAAAGGCUUUUUAAGAAGAGGACUUUGGAGUUGUAAAGAAUUUAGAUACGUGGAAAUGAGAGAAAGGCCUUCCAGGCAGAGGAAACAGGAUGAACAAAGUCUUGGCAGGAAGCAUGGUUAUGUCCCCUGAAGCCCUGGUCCACAUGAAGCUCUUCCUGCUUUUCUUCAGAGGAAGAUGCAGGAGCUGGUUAAUGGAAUGGAUUUUGCAUUCAGACAUCUCUUGGGGCUGCCUGUAGGUGGAUAUGUUCAUGGAAGACGGUGAAAAAGACAAGAAUAGGAUUUGCUGUAUAGAAUCACUAUAGUCACCAUCACACUGAGUAUCAACAACAUCUCUUGUUAUCCUCACAACUGUGCAAAACAGGAAAAGAGAUUCUCCCUCUACUCACAAGAAAUUUGAAACCAGGAGGAUGUAAGUUCUGAAAACACUGCGUCUGUCUUUUGACCAUGAUGGAAUAAAUUGUAUUAAAAAAAAAGAAAAAGAAAAGACAAAAAGGAAAAAAAAGGUUCCAACAUAAUCCAAUAUGAGGUUGACUGAGCUCACUUGGGUGAUUCCUCUGCUCCACAUGCUGUUGACUGAGACUGAAAUAAUCUGAGGGCUUGAUAGGGCUGGAACAACCAAGAUGGCUCCCUCAUGAAGCCGGUAGUUGGUGCUGGCUUUCAGCCAGGAGUUUACCUAAGGCUACUGACCAGAGCAUCUCCAUUCUCUUCCACGUGGUUUCUCCAUGCAGCUUGAGUUUCUUACAAUAUGGUGUCUGAAUUCCAUGACGCAGGGAAUAGGAGUGGCCAGUUAUCUUACGGCUUGAGUUUGGAAGCUCAGAAUCUCACUUGUGUCACAUUCUCUUUGUCAAAGUUAGUCACAAAGCCAACCAAGAUUCAAGGGUUGGGAAAAUAUACCUCUCCUCUUUAUGUCAGGAGUGCCAAGUGCACGCAGGAUGGGGAGGGAUUACUGGGCACUAUCUCUGGACACUAGUUAAAGACAGUGUGAGGAGGUGGAAGAAAAGAGAGGGGGAGAGAUGGGCACUUUGUGACUGUUACUUUGAGCAUGUUACUUAACUUCUCUGAGUCUUAGUUUCCAAAAAUGAGAAAGAAGAAUAUCAUCUAUUUGUAAUCAUGAGAGUGAAAACACACACACACACACACGCACACACACACACAUACAUGUGUAUAUGUAUAUGGAUACACACAACUAUAAUCCAGUCUAUGUAAUCUAUCCUAUCUAUGCAGUCUAUCUAAUCUAUCUAUCUAAUCUAUGUAUCUAUGUAAUCUAGCUAAUCGAUGUGUCUAAUCUCAUCUAUGUAUCUAUCUAAUCUAUAUAUCUAUAGCUAAUCUAUAUAUCUAUGUAAUCUAUCACUGUGUAUUGCAAGCACGGUGGGGCAGAAACGGUUACCAUUACAAUUACUGGUGAUGUCACUUUCUAGCUGUGUGUUUCAGGGAAGUCACAUAGCCUCUAUUGCCUCAUCUGGAAAAUAGAAAGAAAUAAUAUCUCACAAACUUAUUGAGAAGAUUAAAUGAAGCAACGCAGGCAGAUGUUCUUUGUCACCUCUUGACCUUGUUCUAAAUAUCUUCUUCCUUUCUUGGGAUAUGGAAAUCAAAAGCAGAUAUAGGAUAUCCUAUUAAAUGUUUCUUUUUAUAAGGAUUCUUGGCUUAUAAUAGCAGGUCUUCUUUGAUUGAAGACCAUCAUUUUCUCAUUUCUUCUAUCAGAGUACAUAGAAGGCCCAUGCUAUUUGGAUUUUUGUGUUCAUUUUAGAAAUAAACGUAUACACAGACAUGGUAGCAGGAUUAGAAAAAUUAAAAUCUCACCAUCUGGUAUCAGCAUUCAGUCUGGAGAAGAAACUAUUACUUUCCAGUCUUCAGUCUUCUACAGGCAGAUUAUUUUCAGAAGGGUGUUUCCUUUGUGUUUGGGGGAUUGGGAGAUGGAAUACUGAAAUGACAAAAAAAAAAAAAGUCUUGUGUCUCAGAUUUGAGAUGAUGCUGGGACAGAUAUAAAGAAAACAGUCCAUCUGAGCAGAGAAAAAAGAUUCCUAGGAAAAGUAUAAAUUUUGAGAAUGAUGAGAAUCAGGUGAACUAGAGGUGAGGUUGGAAUUCAAGAUAAUGUCAUCCAGUUCUUUAGGGAGACAGAGUGGCCCUAGAUAAUUUCUGUUACUCUAGAAAAUGAGGCCAUUGUGAAUGAGCAGCCCAGGGAGAGACUUUAUCAGGGAAGCACAUUCUCUGUAUUUUUCCUUGUGUUUCCCACAUGCAAAAUCUUUCACUGAAAGAAACCCUCAGUAGAACAUUAAACAUUACAGUUAAACAUUACAGAUGGAACACACCCAUUUAUCUCCAUUCCUCCCCAGAGACUCCCAUUUAAAUGGCACAGAAGAGAUAAACCAGUAUGAAUAGAAUGAGAAACUAGGAUGAGAGGGGGAAUCUAGAAUAAGAGACAAGACAAUAUUGGACAAGAGAUGUCAACUGCGUUUUGAGCAGUAGUAUGUGGAUUGAUGAAUGGUAACCAAAGUAACCGAGUGAAGAAAACUGAAAUCUAAGGCCCCACUGAGGGGAGAUUAUAAACCAAAAUCAAGGGGAAUUGGGUCACAGAACCUCAGAAACUUUCAGCAGUUGGAGGCUUCAGGUACCUCAGAUAGCAUGAGCAAAGGAGGUGCUCGUGACAAGAGAGCUAGUUGAUAGAUAGACUCCCAGACACCCAAUCCCACCCUGUGAACCCAGGCAGGGAAGUGGAGGUGAAGAUUUGGAAAAAUUGAACCAGGGCAGGGUCUUUAUUCACAAAUAUCAGACAGUGGGUAAUAGGCAUGUGAGGUUCGACAAUGGGAAGAGUGAAUGAAAAUCAGUACACUGAAUGGUGUGGCUACCCAGCCCAUUUUCUCUGAGCUUCUGGAAUGCUGGAAGCCAGCAUUUAAACAUCUUGUAGAAAUGGGGACUUACUGUGUUGACCAAACUGAUCUUGAACUCCUGGGUUCAAAUAUUUUUUAAGAUUGUUGUAGAAAUGGGGUCUGGCUAUGUUGCCCAAAGUGAUCUUGAACUCCUGCCUCAGCUUCCAAAAGUGUUAAGAUUACAGGCUUGAGCCACUGUAUCUGGCUUAGAAGAAUUUUUCUGAAAGUAACAGAAAGGACCAAGAAAAAAGUAAAUAUGGAUACUGACAUUUGGGAUAAUCUUAACAGAAUGGCUUGGUCCAUAAAAUUCUUGAAUUGGUGAAUCCUAUCCAUAGAGCCUCUGAUUAGUGUGAGGUGUGUGUGUGUGUGUGUGUGUGUGAGAGAGAGAGAGAGACAGAGAGAGAGAUUUAUCUCACUCAACUAUUAAUACAAAAUAAAGAGUAAUCAGGUACUUAAGGAAAGCCUUCAACAUGGGGUGAGGAACAAACUAAAACAUACAAACAAUAUAACUAAUGCAACUUGUGAAAAGCAGACAAUACAGGCAGCAGAAGAAAACUUCAAAUAAAUGAUAAUUAAGAGCCUCACAGAGAUUAAAGAAGAUAUUCCAUCCAUGCCACAAGAGAAGGAUGCUACUUAAAAAAUGAACUGUAAGAGAAUAAGAAACAACUCUUGGAAAUUAAAAAUCAGAAAGGUAAGUCACUUAAAAGCAUAGUUGAAAAAGGAAAUUUGCAAGAAGGCAAAAACAUGAUUCAAAGAUUAAAAACAUAGAGCAGAUAUAAAAAAAGUAGAAGAACAAUUCAGAAGUUGUAUGUGGG